AUACGGAGGGUGCAAGCGUUAUCCGGAUUUAUUGGGUUUAAAGGGUGCGCAGGCGGACCUGUCAGUCAGUGGUGAAAUCCCGGGGCUCAACCCCGGAACUGCCAUUGAUACUACAGGUCUUGAAUACGGUUGAAGUAGGCGGAAUGUAGCAUGUAGCGGUGAAAUGCAUAGAUAUGCUACAGAACACCGAUCGCGAAGGCAGCUUACUAAGCCGAUAUUGACGCUCAGGCACGAAAGCGUGGGUAGCGAACAGGAUUAGAAACCCGAGUAGUCC
rnacentral:rRNA from 1 species